AAACUUAUGAUAACAUGUUUGCUUUUUAUUUUAGGCAAACUCCAAUUGUGCAGAAGCGAAAUCAUACUUGGAACAACUAUGUCAAGAUUUGACCAGUGAACUGUCCCACUUUGAUUUACGAAAAGAAUCUGAACUAAGAGAUGUUUUGAUUGAGUAUUCUACCCUUAAAUCAGAACAUUUUGAAAAGGUUCAAAGCAAGUGGUUUGGGGUCAAGUUCAUGGUAGAAGCACCAAUUUCAUCAGAUGUUAGAGCAGUCAAAUGUAUUGAAGACUUGUCAUCAAGUAAUUGAUGGUUAAAUGAAUAUAUGGGAGGUUUAUCAUUCUAGACUACAUAAAAUAAUAUAGUAAUCUACUAGAAAUCUUCUUAUCUGGAACUUUAUCAAUUGAAAACGAGUCUUAAUGAAAAUUUUAUUCACAAACAUUAGUAUUAGUAUAAGAGAUAGUGGAGUGUUUAUUGGAUGCACUAAAUCCUUCAAAGAAAUAUUAUGAAUUACUACAAAUAGUGUUGAUGCAGACAAAAGAACCAAAAGAAUUAGUAUUAUUUAGUAMCUAUUUUGUACUAUUUUUGCUUAAACUGAUUAAGUGGGUUCACUCUAUAGCAGUAUAUUUCAUAAUAAUUAUUAGAAUAUUUUGAUAAUUUAAUGAUAGUCACACAGCAGUGCAAAUGAUGCGUGGUAGUGUAUUUUGAAGAUUAUUGAAGUGUAUUUGGCAUUAGUUUGCACUGAAUAGAAAUUACAUCUGAUGGUCCAUGAAGAUGUAUUUGGACAAAUGGUCUAGUACUGGUAGUCCACCAAAUCCAGUGGUCUACUAAAAUUAUUUUAGCAUCCACCAAACUAUUCAUUCCAACAAAUUUGAAAUACGAGCAAAAAUCAAAUUUUCCCAACUUUUUCACUUAUUUCUUUAUGCGGCCAUAGGCAAACUUGAAUAGACCAUAGUACAACAGCCAAUCAGAAAACUUUAUAUUAAAUGAUAGUCCAUAGUUUGAAGGAUGCUGAUGGUUUUUACCUCUUAGUUCUUAGUUAAUUACUCUCCUAACUAGCUUGCGCUAAUCCUAGAAGGUUCACUCUUAUUCUAAUCCUAGAAGGCUCACUCUUAUUCUAUAAAAUAAUAUACUGUAUAUUGUUUCAUUGCUCCCUUGAAUUCCUUGGUUGUUUCAAGAAGAAUUUUUUAAAACAAUUUAUAAUAAUCAUUAAUACUGGCUAUAAUGAUUUUACAUGUAUUAUAAAUGAUCUUUUAUUCAAAUUGAAAAUUACAAAGUAUGAUAGAAUUAUAGUUAUUAGUAAUGCCAUUUUGAAUGAUGGUACAUUUUCGGCACAAUUUCAGUUSGGUGGUGAACAUUUUGUUGCACUACACACAAAUUUAUAUUCGAGAUUUUGCCAAACAAAGGCACUUGAGAUAUGCUGCCACAACAUUUUGCUGAUAAUUUUAUUGGAUUUUUGAUAAAAUAGAGCUUGUUCUUAAUCUAGUCUAUCAAUAAGCUAAAUAUUAGAUAAGUUUAUAUCAUCAAUUGUGAAUGGGCUUUUAAUAAUAAUAAUUAYAAUUAUAAUUAACAAUUAAUUAACAAUGACAAUAAUAAUAUUUGAAUUAUUAGUGUCAUGAUAUCAUUUAUAAAUAUAAUAUAUUCAGAUUUGAAUCCAAGGGUUAAUAAUGUAAGUAUAAUAUCACAAAAUCAUUAUACAGGAAUAAGUAUCCUUUUGUUUGUAACACACUACCAUAUAUCAUUGUAAUUUACCCCCUCCCCCAUUAAUCAAAUUUUGUAUCAAAGUAUAAAAGAGAAUAUUAACAGGAAUUUCAAAUAAAUGUUUUUAAUAUAAAUUAAAA